rnacentral:rRNA from 1 species
GAUAAACGCUGGCGGCGUGCCUAACACAUGCAAGUCGCACGUCCUCCGUUUCGGCGGAGGGAGUGGCGGACGGGUGAGUAGUACAUGGGUACCUGCCCCGAAGUGAGGAAUACCACCGAGAAAUCGGUGACAAUACCGCAUACGCUUCUUUCGGGAAGCAAAGCCGCAAGGCGCUUCGGGAUGGGCCUCUGGCCGAUUAGCUAGCUGGUGGGGUAAUGGCCUACCAGGGCGACGAUCGGUAGCUGGUCUGAGAGGAUGAUCAGCCACACUGGGAUUG